UCAAGAGACCCUCCCACCUCAGCCUCUGAGUAGCUGGGAUUACAGGCAUGGGCCACUGUACCUGGCAUGAUAAUAUUACUACACAGGGUUAUUGGGAGGAUUAAAUGAAUAAAUGUACAUACUUAGAAUAAUACCUGGUACAUAGUGUAUGCUGUAUUUCUAUUUAAGAUUUCUGAUUACAAGUUUCAUUCUGUCUUUAAUGGUUGGGGUCUGUCCCCUCUUUUUUAUGCUCAUGCCAGCUGUGAACUGUCUUCUUUGACAUUAGGUUGCCUGAGUGAGAUCUAUUUGAGAAGCAUUCAUGUUAAGGAUGACUAAUAAAUAUGUUUUGCUGUUCUCAUUUCCUCCAUUUGCCCCUAAAACCACCAGUUUGUUCCAUGUCAACCCUUCCUUUCAGGGCCAAACUUCAAUCCCUGCCCUCAUCAAAAGCUUAUUUGUUCUGGUGGACAGUGUGCUGAGCUGAAAGUGAAGAGACUUGGGUUCUCUAGCUCCAUCACUGAUCUGUCACAUGAUCUUGAGAAACCAAGAGAGAUUUCUCCAUUGGUACCAUGAGUUGGACUAGACUGAUUGAUUUAUUCAUGCAACAUUUGUUGAAUGCCUAUUAUAGAUCUGGUGCUCAGUCUUGAAACUACAGAAGUAAGAUAGAGUCUCUGUACUAAACUAGGUCCCAUUUCAUUGGGGGAUCAGUGAAGUAAUAGAUAAUGAAAAUAGAGAUAUGCAGAGUAUUAUGGGGCCAGAGAACAGAUACCUACCAGUCUGAAGAAGGAUAUUGAUGGUGAGGGUUGCUUCCCAGAAGAGAUGAUUAAUGCUUGGUUUGAGGAACCAAGAAAAUGAGGAUGUAGUGUAGGUAGUGAGAGAAGGACAAUUCAGGCAGUAGGAACAGCCUGUGUAAAUGUGCUAGGGCAGAGAAACUAUGCCCCAUUAUGGAAAUUGAAGGUAUUUCAGUGUGGCUGCAGUUUUGGUUGGGGGUUGGGGAAGCGGUAGGAGAUGAACCUGGAAAGAUAAGAUCACAAAGCCCCUGAAUACUAGGCUAAGAAGUUGGAACUCUGUCACUUUUCAAUGUGAAACCAUUGGAAAGUUUUAUUUUAUUUUAUUUAUUUAUUUAUUUUUCUUUUUUUUCCUUUUCCGAUUCAUGUUCGACUCCUAAGAACUUAUAUUUAUUUAUUUUUAAUAAAGACGGGGUUUCACUAUGUUGGUCAGGCUGGUCUUGAACUCCCGACCUCAGCUAAUCCGCCCACCUCGGCCUCCAAAGUGCUUGGAUUAUAGGCGUGAGCCAACACAACCGGCCCAUUGGAAAGUUUUAAACAGGUAAGUGACAAGAUCCAGUUUGUGUCUUGGAAAUAACAUUCUAGUGAGAGUAAAGACACCAAAGACAAGAGGUUAGGUAGCUCUUACUUUAGUAAAAGAUAAACUAAAGUGAGGUCUGAAGAAUGGCAGUGAUAGUGGGCAUGGGGAAUAAUGGAUCCAAGUAGAAUUCUAGAGAUAAAAUUGAUUAGACUUGGUUAGCAAUAGGAUGGGUUGGGGUAGAGAGGAAGUUGAGGGUGACUCCAAGAUUUCUGACUUGGGAAACUAGAUGUUUGUUGGUGCAGUUUCACUGAGAUAAGGAACAAAGACCUGGGAACCAAGUUAGGGUGGUUGGGGGCAGUGAUGGGUUCCAUUUUAGACAUUUGAAUUUGAGGUUCUGAUGUUACCUCAAGGUAAAGGUAGGCAAGAGACAGAUACAUGGAUCUGAAGCUUGGGAGAGCAGUCUAUGAGGGGAUGUAGAUUUGACAUCUGGCAGCACAUAUGUGGUAGCUGAAACCAUUGAAGGGCAUAAAGAUGACCUACUUACAUGUAAUAUUUGGCCCAGACAGUGCUUUUUAACUGUGACCAACAGUGUUUUUUUUAAAAAAACUUGAAUGAGUAUCCAAUAUUGUAAAUCAGUAGAUUGUACAUAAUAAUAUUUCCAACUUAAAAUCUGGCAACACUGGACUUAUAUUCCCACAAAGUAAAGGCUAUUUGGAGCUAAGUAGCAAUUGCUCCCUCUGGAAUGAACUUGUGCUCUCCAGUUCACUGCAGUUCUCACCCUGUUCUUAGAGUAAAUGCCAAGACUGGGUAUGGUGAUUACUCACAACUAUAAUCCCAGCACUUUGGAAGGCCAAGGCAAGAGGAUUGCUUGAGACCAGAAGUUCAAGGCUGCAGUGAGCAAUGAUCAUGCCGCUACACUCCAGCCAGAGCAACAGGAUGAUGGAGAGCAGUCUUCAGUCUGAGCUCCGUUCCUCGACCUGGUAGAAGAUGCUAAUCAAAAUAAACUGCUUUCCUGAGACACAGGACCAGAAAUGAAAAGUAUUUAACUUUCUAAGACUCAAGGACUAUCGUGGAAGAGGUGGGUGCAUCAGAUUGUAAGGGCUGAUGUUGAGAGAUUAAAUUAGUUCAGUUUCUCUAUAAACCUAACCGUUAAUGUCAAAAGCUCACUGAUGCAAGACCCGUAUAUGGCUGGUCUUCAAGCAUUUUCUUAGAGCAUUAGCCUACUUAUUAAUAAAAGGUUAUACAACUUAUAAAAAAUUUAUGGAAAUUAUAUCUUAUGGUCAAGAUGACUAAAAUUUUAUAGAUUUUGUUUAUAAAAGUUUUUUUGAGACCGAGUCUUGCUCUGUUGCCCAGGUUG